UGGGAUUACAGCCUGAGCCACACGGCCAACGUUUUCAAUAGAAACAUUAGUAAGUUCAUUUAACAAUACAUUCAUAAUAAUAAUACAUAAUAAAACACACAGAAUUAUUGGCAGUCUUAAUUGUGCCUAAAUGUUUCUAAUAACUGUUGAGGUGGGGAGGGGGUGGACAGUUCAUUAAUAAGGUUGGAAAUGUUAUUGGAGUACCUUGGUUUUCAUUUAGUCUAGUUAGUAGGCAAGUCAGCUAACUUCACAGAGGCUAAAUUUUCUCAUCUCAAAAAUUUUAAUAAAAUAUCUGAUAUUCCUUCUACCCACAUUCGUGGGAACCAGAUUAUAUUUGAAAAAAUUUUCACUAACUCUAAAAAACAGUCGUCACUAUAAUUAUUGCAUUGGUAGUCAUUUGUAGCUAAAUUAUGACAGAAAGGAACAUAAUGAGCAUUUGAGAAUUAGAAAUUUGUGUUCAUAAGUGAUAUAAUUUUCAUAUCUAUUUAAAAUUACAACUCUCUUAACAAUCCUAUAUGCUGUUUAUUCUUAAAUGUUCCAAAUAUUUUGAAAUAUGCUUUCUACGUUGAUAUUUUAUUUGAUUAAUCAGUUACACAUUUUUACAUAUUUGAGAUUAACCUGCUUAUGAUUUAUAUGUUUAUCUGUAAAUAGCUAAUGCAGCCAUAUUUUUACUCUUGUUUACUUUUUCCUUUGUUUGCUCCCGAAUGUGUGGCAGCAGAAACACAACUGUAAAGAGCACAGAUAAGCUUUCAAAAUGUUACAUGGCAUUUUACCCAAACAUCUGUCAAGUGAAAGCCCAGGGAUUAAACAAGCUGGAACCACAACAAAGGAAAGCUACGUGCCAAAUUUUCCAAGAUAAUAACUAGACAUUGAAACAUAUUGCUCAGAAUAUGUUGACUUACCUAAUGGAAAGUACCACUGCAGGUGGUUGUCCUAGGAUAGUUACCUAAAAAAAGGUAUAUGUGGAUCUGUGGUAGCUGGAGUUGGUCCUCAUGACUUUUUUCAGUUUCUUCUAACCUAAGGAAGUUUCCACUUAGGAAUAAGGUGAAAAACAUCACCUUUAAAUCUUUACUCCAUGACCCUUCUGGUAUAUGACUUGAAAAUUUCUAAAGUGCAUUUUAUGCCUGGUGUGGUGGCUCACACCUGUAAUCCCAGCACUUUGGAAGCCAGUGGAUCACUUGACAUCAGGAGU